UGGGGAAUAUUGCACAAUGGGCGAAAGCCUGAUGCAGCAACGCCGCGUGAGUGAUGAAGGCCUUCGGGUUGUAAAGCUCUGUCUUCUGGGACGAUAAUGACGGUACCAGAGGAGGAAGCCACGGCUAACUACGUGCCAGCAGCCGCGGUAAUACGUAGGUGGCAAGCGUUGUCCGGAAUUACUGGGCGUAAAGGAUGCGUAGGCGGAUAUUUAAGUCAGAUGUGAAAUCCCCGGGCUUAACUUGGGGGCUGCAUUUGAAACUGGGUAUCUAGAGUGCAGGAGAGGUAAGUGGAAUUCCUAGUGUAGCGGUGAAAUGCGUAGAGAUUAGGAAGAACACCAGUGGCGAAGGCGACUUACUGGACUGUAACUGACGCUGAGGCAUGAAAGCGUGGGGAGCAAACA
rnacentral:rRNA from 1 species